CACCCAGCUUCCAGGAAAAGCCUCUAAGCUUCAGUCUAAGAGUGACCGUACCGCAAACCGACACAGGUGGGCUGGUAGAGAAUACCAAGGCGCUUGAGAGAACUCAGGAGAAGGAACUCGGCAAAUUGAUACCGUAACUUCGGGAGAAGGUAUGCCCCUGGUACGUGAAGGCCCUCGCGGCCGGAGCGGAACGGGGUCGCAGAGAAUCGGUGGCUGCGACUGUUUAUUAAAAACACAGCACUCUGCAAACACGAAAGUGGACGUAUAGGGUGUGACGCCUGCCCGGUGCCGGAAGGUUAAGUGAUGGGGUGCAAGCUCUUGAUCGAAGCCCCGGUAAACGGCGGCCGUAACAAUAACGGUCCUAAGGUAGCGAAAUUCCUUGUCGGGUAAGUUCCGACCUGCACGAAUGGCGUAACGAUGGCCACACUGUCUCCUCCUGAGACUCAGCGAAGUUGAAAUGUUUGUGAAGAUGCAAUCUCCCCGCGGCUAGACGGAAAGACCCCAUGAACCUUUACUGUAGCUUUGCAUUGGACUUUGACGGGACUUGUGUAGGAUAGGUGGGAGGCUAUGAAACCGGGACGCCAGUUCCGGCGGAGCCAUCCUUGAAAUACCACCCUGGUGUCGUCGAGGUUCUAACCCAGGCCUGUGAAUCCAGGUCGGGGACCGUGCAGGGUGGGCAGUUUGACUGGGGCGGUCUCCUCCCAAAAGGUAACGGAGGAGUACGAAGGUCACCUAGGUACGGUCGGACAUCGUACUGAUAGUGCAAUGGCAAAAGGUGGCUUGACUGCGAGACCCACACGUCGAGCAGGUGCGAGAGCAGGUCAUAGUGAUCCGGUGGUUCUGUAUGGAAGGGCCAUCGCUCAACGGAUAAAAGGUACUCUGGGGAUAACAGGCUGAUUCCGCCCAAGAGUUCACAUCGACGGCGGAGUUUGGCACCUCGAUGUCGGCUCAUCACAUCCUGGGGCUGUAGCCGGUCCCAAGGGUAUGGCUGUUCGCCAUUUAAAGUGGUACGUGAGCUGGGUUUAAAACGUCGUGAGACAGUUUGGUCCCUAUCUGCCGUGGGCGCUGGAAGUUUGAGAGGGCCUGCUCCUAGUACGAGAGGACCGGAGUGGACGCACCCCUGGUGUACCGGUUGUGACGCCAGUCGCAUCGCCGGGUAGCUAUGUGCGGAAGAGAUAACCGCUGAAAGCAUCUAAGCGGGAAACUCGCCUCAAGAUGAGACUUCCCCGGGGCCUCGAGCCCCCUGAAGGGUCGUUGAAGACCACAACGUUGAUAGGCCGGGUGUGUAAGCGUGGCAACACGUUCAGCUAACCGGUACUAAUUGCCCGUGUGGCUUGAUCC
rnacentral:rRNA from 1 species